UACUAACUGUAUACUACUGGUGUGGCAGGUAGCCUAGUGGUUAGAGCGUUGGGCCAGUAACCUGUUUCAUAACCACAUCUUUGAUAUUUUUUGCAGACAUCUAUUCCGUCUAUUCUCAUGCAGCUCAACCAGAGAUGUCAGAGAUGAAAUACAUUUUUAUCAAACACAGAAAUCUGUCAGGACCAAAGAGAGAAGGUGCUAGGGGAAUCCUCAUGGUUCUGGGGGUGGAUUCAUAGCCUCUCAUCAUAAACUCACAUUCAUAAGCAUUUGUUUCCUACAGUGCAGCAAUCCGAUUACACUCUUGAUAUUUAUAAUAUUCUGGAACAUUGGACGCAUCAUAAUACCCAUAAAACCUGGUGGUCAAACACGAAAAUGGUUCCAAUAGUUUUUUCACUAUUCAUUUUUCACAUAGUAAAUUUUACAAACACUUCAAACUAAGUGUGUGUUUGGUGUGACAUUUUGAUAACCGUGUAAUUCUCUCUCAGACAAGGUGAGUUUUAUCAAUAUAUUUAGCCUCAAUUUACUCAUUUUCAAAAUCCUAACUAGCAACAGAGAUAACUACAAAUUCCUCCAGGAAGCUCCUGCAAGUCAUCUCUAGCUGACACUGUCAGUUACCGUUCACCAGGUCAAUCAGAGACCUGUGCCCAAUCCAUGAUGAAUCCAUGGGCUGUAUUGAAAUGAAUUGAAUAAAGUGUUGAACUUCUUCCAUCCCCUUUCUCUGUCUUAGCUAGCCACUGACUACACUUUAGCUAGCCACUGACUACACUUUAGCUAGCCACUGACUACACUUUAGCUAGCCACUGACUACACUUUAGCUAGCUAAUUAGCAGAACAGUAGAUCAAGCCUAGAUACUAGCUUGUACAGUAUGUCAACUUUGGUGUCUGUUUCAGAUCUCAUGGCAUUUUUCAAGGAUGAGCAUAAGAGCAUUAAAAUGGGAGAAGACCACUAUAAGUCUGGUCAUGUGGAGAAGUGCAGCUAUAGUGAGGGGCAACUUACCAGUUUGGUCGGGGCCAGCAUGAGGGAUAAAGUUUAUCCUGUGUCGUUCAUAAUAUUGGCCAUAUGGAUGUGGAAUGCGAGUGGAGGAAGCCAGCCGUGCCCAACAAAAUGCAGUCAGUGGAGGACCCAGCCAAAGACUACAACGCUCUGUCCCGAGAGCACACAGACGAUGUUCAGUGACUAAUGAACUGUCUCCGGGGCAGGUUCAGUGGAAUGGCAUGUUUCCUUGAACCUGAGCCAGAACAACUGCUACCCUCCCUGUCAUCCCUGUCUGUACUGAACAUUAUUAAAAAACAAGAGCACCUGGGGCAUGCAGGCAUCCUGGCUGGCAUGGCGCUGUCGGUGGAGCAGCAGGAGGCUAAACGGCAGGCAACAGUUGGACAGCGCACCAACCCCAACUGACACACCACGAGGAGAGGAAGGUUGACGGCCAGCUAUUAUAAACCAGUGGUUAGGGCCAAGCGUGUUACUCCGCUUCUUAAAAGGGUCCUCAGAUCACAGUCAUUGGAUGGGGUGUUAUCUAUAAAGUGGGGCACAGAUAUCUUUGUUUUGAAGGGCAUCAAGUCAUUCAAAAUGUCUACAGAGAUGGAAGUGCAGGAGUCAGGGCUUUGGGUCAAGGGGUCUGUGAUCCUGGGUGCCUCACCGGAUGGUCUGGUGGGUGCCAAAGCACUGAUGGAGGUCAGGUGUCCCUAUGGUGCAAGGGAUCUUACCAUUGAAGAGGCAGUGAAGUCGUAGGAGUUCUAUAUAAAGGAGGGAGGGUCUUACCGCCUCCGUGAAGACCAUCCUUACUGCCACCAGGUCCAAGGUCAGCACCACAUCACUGGAAGGGACACCUGCUUCUUCAUUGUGUGGACCACCAAAGCCUCCAUCACCAUCCAGCAUGACGACCUCUUACAGACUCAUAUUGCUCCUCCUGUCAGUACCUGUUUUCAGGCAAGCCAAUGGUCCAACAUAUUCCACAUAGUUCAUACACACACUAUGCCCCUAGAAUAGGUUAUAUUACAUUAAAGUUUUGCUCAAAGUAAUGGAGUUAACGUAAAUUCAAUCACAAAGGCUGAUCUGAGUGCAUCUCCUCACAGUUUCAUUCAGUAGUACAACACAAGUCACAUUGUAUUUUAUCAUGGGCACAGUGGAAAUUUAUAUCUUUGAUGUUUAAAUGAUGUUUUACCUCCAGAGUGAGAGAGAGAGAGAGUAAGUACAUCACUUCAAAUCAGAUCUCCUUGCUAAUGCACCGCUUCUUCUCGUGGGAUGAGCCUGAUGUUCCGCAUGUCACGCCUCAUGUCUUAAACAUGGGGUAAAGGGGACAUGAAGUAAGAAAUGAAGAUGCAUAAACAAUUUCAAUGUUUUACACAA